AUAUAAAGCGUGGGGAGGUCAUAAAUGGCCUGAGAGUAAGCUGUGAGCUUAGACCCGUUGAACCUGUUGGUUAGUACCAUCGUAGGGAGUGAACGUGUUCUUUUAC
rnacentral:ncRNA from 2 species